rnacentral:rRNA from 44 species
AAAUUGAAGAGUUUGAUCAUGGCUCAGAUUGAACGCUGGCGGCAGGCCUAACACAUGCAAGUCGAACGGUAACAGGAAGCAGCUUGCUG